UUUAAAGGAAGUCUUGGAAGAGUCCCUGCUGGUAGAGAAAAAAACACCAGCGGUAGGAAUACUUUCUUCUGAUCACAUGGUCUAUUAGAGGUAGCCCCAGUUUGACAUGGUACCCAGGCACCAAACUAACUGCUUUAUGUGAAUUAUCUCAUUUAACCAUCUGAGUAGCUGAAUUGUCUCUGUUUUAUAGAGGCACCAAGAAGCAGACGUAUCAAGGUCUUCCUUUUGAGAUAAACCACAAAUCCGGCGGCAAGAAGACACAGGAUGGUCACCAGAAUUCCUACGGUUAAAGCUUGGUUAUCUGAAACAAAACACAUUGGGCUCACAGAAGGCAGCAGUUACAGUGACGUAUGGGAGGUAUCAAGUGGUGACAUUUAUGGCAAAGUGAACUUUGAGGCAACAAACAGAAAUGAAGAGAGUAAACCCUUGAGUGAUGUACUAAUUGUCUUACUGCAAA